UGUCGUCAGCUCGUGUCGUGAGAUGUUGGGUUAAGUCCCGCAACGAGCGCAACCCUCGCCCUUAGUUGCCAGCAUUAAGUUGGGCACUCUAAGGGGACUGCCGGUGAUAAGCCGAGAGGAAGGUGGGGAUGACGUCAAGUCCUCAUGGCCCUUACGGGCUGGGCUACACACGUGCUACAAUGGUGGUGACAGUGGGCAGCGAGACCGCGAGGUCGAGCUAAUCUCCAAAAGCCAUCUCAGUUCGGAUUGCACUCUGCAACUCGAGUGCAUGAAGUUGGAAUCGCUAGUAAUCGCGGAUCAGCAUGCCGCGGUGAAUACGUUCCCGGGCCUUGUACACACCGCCCGUCACACCAUGGGAGUUGGUUUUACCCGAAGGCGCUGUGCUAACCGCAAGGAGGCAGGCGACCACGGUAGGGUCA
rnacentral:rRNA from 1 species